rnacentral:rRNA from 1 species
CCUACGGGCGGCAGCAGUGGGGAAUAUUGGACAAUGGGGGCAACCCUGAUCCAGCCAUGCCGCGUGUGUGAAGAAGGCCCUCGGGUUGUAAAGCACUUUCAGUGAGGAAGAACGCCUGGUGGUUAAUACCCAUCAGGAAAGACAUCACUCACAGAAGAAGCACCGGCUAACUCCGUGCCAGCAGCCGCGGUAAUACGGAGGGUGCGAGCGUUAAUCCGAAUUACUGGGCGUAAAGCGCGCGUAGGUGGCUUGAUAAGCCGGUUGUGAAAGCCCCGGGCUCAACCUGGGAACGGCAUCCGGAACUGUCAAGCUAGAGUGCAGGAGAGGAAGGUAGAAUUCCCGGUGUAGCGGUGAAAUGCGUAGAGAUCGGGAGGAAUACCAGUGGCGAAGGCGGUCUUCUGGACUGACACUGACACUGAGGUGCGAAAGCGUGGGUAGCAAACAGGAUUAGAUACCCGGGUAGUC